UCUUCAGUGAGGUACAUCCUUACCUGUUACUCCUAAUAAGGAGUAUCAGAAAAUGAUGAGUGGAGUUUCAUGAGAUAUGAUUAAUAUCUCCGUCUUGUAGAGAACGCAACACUCUACAAGAACCAUUCUGAU